ACAGAUAUUAGUUUCUAAAAUAUGUCUGCAAAAUUUCAUGGACUUUGGUUGCUCAAUAUUCAAAUGAAAUUGGAACUACGAUUGUAUGGAGUAAGUGACGGAGAGAGCCCUGUUAACUGUAUACCCUCAAAUUCACUUACAUAUAAAGUAUUUUAACAUUCUAUCUUCAAUUUCGUUUCAAUUCUUGAAAAAACCAAAGGUUAUUUUCUUACGACACAAUAUUGCAUAGGAGAAUAAAGCAAAAUUACACUGUUUACUUCAAUUCUAUAUUUAGGUCAAUUCAAGUCUUAUAAUUACUAAUUACAUCUUGUUUAAUAUAUAUAGGACUAUCUACUGAUUUUAUUCACCUUAUGUUAUGACAAAUUACUGAAAAGCAAAUAAUAGAGUAGUCACUAACUGAUUUUACUCCCAAGAUUUGUAUUUUCUAAAAACCCUGAUAAUAAAAACCCAGAAACUUAAGUCAAUGUGUCUAAUUCUGUUGUACACACAUCUCUAAGCUAAAAUGGCAGGUCUAAAUCGUUUGCAUCACUUACAAUGCGCCCUGCAAAAAAGGAUAACACUUGAGUUAUACCUGUCAAUUGAGAAUUGGAAUGAUGCCUAUGUGGAAAACGAAUUGUUUUUUAGUAAUUAUUAUUAGUGGGUCUUCCAAAAUUCGUAAAAUCCAAGUCCACUGUUAGUUUUAAGUCUGUCACUUAUUUAAUCGAUAAUUUAACUGAAAAAUACGACAAAUUACGCCAAAACAAUGUUGAUGAAGUCACAAUUAUGUAUUUCACACAAGGGCGCUUACAAGCGAGCGUUUUGGCGUUAGAGAAAAAGUUGCUGAUUUUAUUAGUGGGCAUCAUCAAUAUUUAGUUUAGAUUGUGUACAAAGGAAUUAGCCACUAUAGCUCUCUUUCUUAUAAAAAUUACACACUGGUUACACAACAGAAAUAUAAUCAGUGUGUAAAUUUUUAUAAGUAGGGCCUCAAUAGCUAAUAGCGAAGUUAUCUUUAUAAGUAGUUGAUGUAAAUCUGUCAUGGAGUUGUCAAAACACGACAUCUAGCUGAGAUACUGUGGAAUUAUUACCAUACUAGGUCAUGUUCCUGGAAAGUUCAUUCCAUUUACUUUUUAAACACCGUGCGUUUGCAUCCUCGCCACAUUUUUGCGUGCCAUCGAUUUUUGUAAAAUAUCUAAGAAAUUCGCGCUCGCUUGGCUCACGGUUUUAUUUUUUGUACAGUGAUGCAUGCAACUUUGUACGCGUGGAUUUUGGUUUUUAAAAUUUCAUGGGACUUUUUGAUUAUCUGGGAUGCAAGGUGUAUCUGCGGUUAAAAGGUUAGACUGUGGAAAAGGUAACAAGUAGAAUUUUGUAUCAAAUCAUGAAAAGAGCGAAGACGAAUAUAUGAACAGUCAACAGACAUCUCGACUCGGGCACAACCGACCGGUCGCCUUUAAGAGCUCGUUCACACAGGCUGCGUAAGCGUAGACGUAGUGCGUACCAUUGCGUUGUAAUGUAUGGAACUGAAUGAAACAUGGCAUACCGCUUGCGGAAUGUUAUGCGUGUGGUUUAAAUUGAGUUCGAUAACUUUUUUGUAAUUUUUAUAUCUUUAAAUCAUCCAAUUUUGUAGUAGUGAAAACUGUCUUGGGCGAUUUCGAGGUGGCUAAAACUUCAUGGUCGCGUCACCGACAUGCUAAUUUUAGCAGUGUAACUGUAGCUAUAAGUAGUGUAGUGGUGUUGCGCGUAUUGAGAAUUAAGUUAAUUAAAAUUCAUGUAAAUACAAAUACUAUGUAUUAAUAAUAUAAAACAGUAUUUUUUAUGUAAUAAAUACAUCAUGAGAAAUACAUUUUAUUUAUGAUAAAAAAAUACAUGCAUAACCAUAUACAUACCAUAUGUAUGUAUAUACGUAUUCGACUGAUCAUUUGUCUCCGAUGUUGAGUUUAUACAUCUCGAGAUAUGUAAACUCAUGGUAAGUCAAACUAUUCUUUGAUGUUAUAAGGCCUCCUUAGUGCGUAUGAAUGCAGCACAGGCAACGUACAUACGCAGAAGUCAAAUUUUAUAAUAUGAUUUACCCGAUGAUGAAGGCUGCAACUUCGUCCGCGCAAGUUUCGGUUAUUUGAAAAUUUCAUGAGUAGCCGAUGUCCUUUCCCGGGCUGCAACUCUCUCUGUGCCAAAUUUCGUCGACAUCGGUU